rnacentral:lncRNA from 11 species
AUGAGUGCUGGCCCCCAGCUACAGCUGGCAGUCCUCUGGCCGUGGCUCUCCUUCUUCUUCUUGUGCUCCACGCCGCAGGGGCAGCCGGGCUACUUGGGACAGGCCCUGGCGGCGGCCAUGGAGCCCGAGCGGUCCUCCUCGGCCCAGAAGGCCCUCAUCCGCGUGGUCCCACUCAAGCUGGAGCCCCUCACCCUGGAAGGGGUCUUCGCCGGCGUGGCCGAGAUCAUCCCGGCGGAAGGGAAGCUGCUGCAGUUCCACCCUUUGUCUCUGUGCAACACCAGCGAGGAUGAGCACACCGUCCCCGGAUUUGUCUCCAUCGUCAAGCUGGAGCGGCCCGAGAGGGACCUCCGGCCCUGCCUUUCGUUGGCCAACAAGGUACGGAUAGGUCCGUUUUCCUCCAUAUUGCCGUCGAUUCUGGGAAUUACAGUCAAAAGGGGAUUAGCUCUACUGCCUUCAGAGAAUUUUAGGGCCCCGGCCGUGAGAGAGUCAUUUUUGCCUUCCUGUGUUAAGAGGUUAAGUUCAUCUCAUUCAUUUCCUAUCCUCUGUAAGUUAUUAUUUAUGUGCGCCUUUGAAUUGCCUCGUACAUGGACUCCAUGAAUUUUGUAGGGUUUUCUUUGUUAAGAUAACCUGAGAAGUCAUUUUGCC